GGCGGAGCCGCCCGGCCCCGAGCCCCGACGUCAGGCCCGGCCCCGCGGCUUGGCGUGCUCCCAGCCCGGCCCUGCCGCCGGCCAGCGAAGAGCCAGGGGGAAAGCGCUCGCCUGCCCCCCUCGGCACUGCGGGGUGCUAAGUGCGGGGAGGAGGGAGGCUCGCCCCCACCUCGGGUAAUUGCCCCCUUGGUUUUAGCAUUUUCGGAGCUAUAUCAAGAGCUAUGACAAAUUUAUUUUGCAUCGCUCUUGAUAAAGUCACGUUGAGCCUGUUAUGCCCGCUAAUGCCUUAAAUAAAUGCAAAAUCAACGUGCCCCUCUGAGCCAUUAACGAGGUCCAAGUUCCUCUGCACAGAUAAACAAAUGCCGAACCAAAUGGAAGAGGCUCGGAAAAGAAAAAAAAAAAGAGUAAAUGUACACCGCUUGGCAAAGACCUAGCUUUCAGGCGUCUAUUUAUAUAACAAAGCCACUUUGUCCUUGUUACGCGCUGUUUGCUUUUUAAUACUGAUAUCAUUAGCGGAGCUGCAGAGCACACCGCGUCCUCAGUGUGCAAUAUGUACCCAACAGAUCGGCCCUGGCAGCUCCCUCCUUUCAUAAGCAUGCCUUUGACUGUAAGGAGACACAAUUACGAUCUAACACACAAAUCUGAAUACAUAAAACCAUCCUGGAGCUAUGGAAAUGCCACCUCUGGCACCGACGGGUUCCUUCAGGGCGCUUCGAGCACUCGGUGUGAGCACGGAGUGCAGCCACGCGCUGCUGGGCCCCGCUGCCCCCUCCCCAAAUUGCAGCGCUGCCCGGCCAGUUUAGCCAUUUUUACCUCUUCACACGGGAUUUUAUUGGCUUUAAGCUGCCUUUCGUGUCGUGGUACAUUAAAAAAGGGCUGUUUUUUCCCUCAGCACUGCUCCCCGCCGGGCGCCUCUCCUCAGGAGCUGAGGAACCGCCGCCCAGGCCCGAGCGGGGACCACGCGCUGGCACUUUGAAACGCUAUUUCUUAACAAUACCGAAGGGUUACGGCAGAGCGCUGCAGAGCCGUGUAAAUUAGACAGUACCGUUCUCCCUCAGCGGCACCAAAAGGCGGGCGGAGCCCCCUCAAAACCUCCCCUCACGCCCCCUCCGCCAUCUUCGCCCGGCCGGUCCCGCCCCGCGCUGAGCCUCCUACUGGGCGGGGCGAGGCGAGGCGGGGCGCGGAGCGGCUCCGCUCUAUAAAGGGCAGCGCCGCGGACGGUCGGGCCUUUCUGUCAGCACGGAGGUGCAGGGGGCCGCGCGGCGACCGGGCGAGCAAAGCUGCGGGGAGCGGCCGGGCGAAUAAAACUGCGUGUGCUCCACCACUGUGUCCGUCUGGUUCUUGUCCGCGUCCGUCCUUUUCCCCGCACUGCCUUUGAGCCGGCGGGGCGCCCUGCCCGCGGCGCCGCCGGCCAAGCAGCGGUGCCAGAGCGAGCCCCUUGUUGAUAACUGGUGCUGCUCGGCACGGCCCGGGCGGCGCUUUUAAAAGCAAGGUACAGGGCGAGGGCGCGCGGCCGCACAAAAUGGCGGCGCGGCCUGAGGGGAGGGAGCGGGAACCGCGCAGCGCUGCCCUCAAAGGGGAGCUGGGUUCUCAGGUUCUAGAACCGUGUUCUGUACGACAUACGCCGUUCCAGAGCCCUGCACAACUCCUUGGGGAAGAUGCAAGGGUUCACUUGACAGAUUUAUUUAAAAAAACAAAAAAAACACAAAAAAAACUACUAAGCAGCAAGAGUCCUAGCCGUCCUUGAAAUAAACCCUCUGGGUGAAGGGGAAUGAUAAAACCAGAGAAAUGCACCCAUCUGUAUGCUAACAUUUAGCCUUUAGAGCCCUCUUUAAGAAAAAAAAUGCAAACUUAAAUCUAGUGAUAUAAGCUGCAGCUAAUCCUAGGGCCUCUUUUGUUUUUUAAUAGCUGUGAUCUUGACAUCUUGGUAACUGAGAAUGGAGUUGUGCAAAACCAUGGCUGUACAUAAAAACAGUGCAUCUAUACCCACUCUGACAAGAGCAUUGGGAUAAAGAAUAGUUGCACUGGAACUACUGAAGCUCAGAAAAGUUUUUAAACCUACUAUUGAAGGUACUCCUAGUAAUUUCAGAAUUUUCAACACAACAUAAAAUUUUAAAAGCAUGUUUUUAAAGUAUAUGCUUCACAUAAGUACUAACAGUUGAAGUGAAUGGCUGGCUCAGCAGAAAAUAUAGUAUAGAUAAAGGGGAGAAGACUGGGGGAGUCAGACUGUUAAGGCACAUUGCAUUUCUUCUUCAACUGUAUAAAACUUUUUAAUCAGAGAAUAAAUGGUCUGAAUCGUUUAACCCUAAAAUCACCAUAUGCUAUCCCAUAUGACUAAAAAAUCUGAAAGUGUUUGUAUCACGCUUGUCAUUUACCAACUUGCUUUUCUAAUUGCAUUUUUGAAGCAACUUGCAGAAGGUGGCUAAACACUGUAGAAAUAAGUUUUAAUUGAGUAACUGUUUGACAUGAGAUAGAUUUAUUUAAUAAAACAAAGCAAGCAGAUUGUAGUUA